UUUAUGGAGAGUUUGAUCCUGGCUCAGGAUGAACGCUGGCGGCGUGCCUAAUACAUGCAAGUCGAGCGAACGGACGAGAAGCUUGCUUCUCUGAUGUUAGCGGCGGACGGGUGAGUAACACGUGGAUAACCUACCUAUAAGACUGGGAUAACUUCGGGAAACCGGAGCUAAUACCGGAUAAUAUUUUGAACCGCAUGGUUCAAAAGUGAAAGACGGUCUUGCUGUCACUUAUAGAUGGAUCCGCGCUGCAUUAGCUAGUUGGUAAGGUAACGGCUUACCAAGGCAACGAUGCAUAGCCGACCUGAGAGGGUGAUCGGCCACACUGGAACUGAGACACGGUCCAGACUCCUACGGGAGGCAGCAGUAGGGAAUCUUCCGCAAUGGGCGAAAGCCUGACGGAGCAACGCCGCGUGAGUGAUGAAGGUCUUCGGAUCGUAAAACUCUGUUAUUAGGGAAGAACAUAUGUGUAAGUAACUGUGCACAUCUUGACGGUACCUAAUCAGAAAGCCACGGCUAACUACGUGCCAGCAGCCGCGGUAAUACGUAGGUGGCAAGCGUUAUCCGGAAUUAUUGGGCGUAAAGCGCGCGUAGGCGGUUUUUUAAGUCUGAUGUGAAAGCCCACGGCUCAACCGUGGAGGGUCAUUGGAAACUGGAAAACUUGAGUGCAGAAGAGGAAAGUGGAAUUCCAUGUGUAGCGGUGAAAUGCGCAGAGAUAUGGAGGAACACCAGUGGCGAAGGCGACUUUCUGGUCUGUAACUGACGCUGAUGUGCGAAAGCGUGGGGAUCAAACAGGAUUAGAUACCCUGGUAGUCCACGCCGUAAACGAUGAGUGCUAAGUGUUAGGGGGUUUCCGCCCCUUAGUGCUGCAGCUAACGCAUUAAGCACUCCGCCUGGGGAGUACGACCGCAAGGUUGAAACUCAAAGGAAUUGACGGGGACCCGCACAAGCGGUGGAGCAUGUGGUUUAAUUCGAAGCAACGCGAAGAACCUUACCAAAUCUUGACAUCCUUUGACAACUCUAGAGAUAGAGCUUUCCCCUUCGGGGGACAAAGUGACAGGUGGUGCAUGGUUGUCGUCAGCUCGUGUCGUGAGAUGUUGGGUUAAGUCCCGCAACGAGCGCAACCCU
rnacentral:rRNA from 1 species